rnacentral:misc_RNA from 1 species
UUUAAUGCAGAGCUAGCCACUUUUUAUAAAUUUAUGGGAUAAGUGGAGAUUACAAUGGAUAUAUAACAAUUCAUUGUUAAUUUGUAUCCUUCAAGUCUACAUGUGGUGUUUUGUUCAGUUAUGAUUAUUCCUUUCUUGGAUCUUGAACAACUAAGUGAGAUCAUUUAUUGGGAAAUAAUUUUGAAAUUAAACAAGAAUGCAAAAAAGGUAAUAGUAUUUUGUCCACCUUAAUACUAACAAGGAAUAGGCAAAUGGUGGUUUGCAUUCACUCCUGGCAUCUCUGUUACAAGUCAUGCCCAGGUCAGAUAAACUGACUUGGCUAAUUAUUUACUGCAGAUCCUAAUACACACAUUAUAUGG